UUUGUGGCUGAGGGGUGGGUAUGGGAGAAGAAGGGAGCAAAGCUGAGGUUCCCCACUUUCUUUUAUUCUCUCCUCUCAGACCCUUGCAGGCCUGGGUCUAGUGACUUAGUGGGACAGCACAAUCCAUUAACAAGACAAACUCUGCUCGUCAACUCUGCAUUUAGCACAAUCCAUUAACAAGACAAACUCUGCUCGUCAACUCUAUAUUAGCUGCUCCACACGGGCAGGUGACAGUUCUGAGCUGCAGGGCUGCAUCUGUGGGGUGGUUAUAACAUUUCUUUUCAUGUCUUCUUCUUUUCCGGUUGCCUCAGUUUACCAUUGAGGUGGAAUGUAGGAGUCAGGAGAAAGAAUAACAAAGAGUCAUUGAUUCUGUGUGCCAAAGCUGACUAGGAACCCAAGCACCUUUGUCUCCCAAGCAAAUGUCCCUUGGCCUUCACAGGAUUUGAACACAGUGUCCUUUGGUUCCCCUGUGCUGUCUUUUGUGGGUCUAGUUUAUUCAGGUGUGCUCAGCAGUUAAUCUCCCCUCCCCACACUCAAAAGUUGAUGAUGGUAGAUGGACAGGUGCUGGGUGUGUGGACAGAUGAGUAGGUAGGAUGGAGCAGAAAGUAGGAGCUUGAAAAAUGCUAUUAUGUAGUAUUUUAUAUUAGUAUUUUCCCCCUUCAAAAGAAAAGGGUUUCUGAGAGUAUUCCAGUAUCAGGACAGUUCUUUUGCUGAGAAGUCUUCUUAAUACUCUGGUAUCUGUCAAGGCCCAUAAGGAGAACAGAAGUCACUUACAGUCUUUAUGAAAGCAAGACUUAAGUGAAAACACAAAAGAAAGAAGAUGAUAAGGAAGAGGGAGGAGACAGAGUGGAUGAGGUGGAGGAGAGAGCAGAGAAGGAAAACACAGGUUCAGGAAAAAGCUGUCUCUGCACAUGAGAGAAGAGUCGAGAAUCUAAAAGGAGACUGGGAGGCACUUCAGAGGUCAAACACAGCAGAGCAGACCUACCCUUAGACUGCAGGGGUGGGCAGAGAGCAGAAAUUUACUGGUUUUUUUUUUUUCUUUCCUGUCACUUUCCCAGCCAGCGUCCUCCUUGCCCCGAGUCAACUGAAUGGGAAGAAAGAAGGAAGGAGAUCUGGGGAGAAGCUUCAGUGAGUAAACCACUUGCUGUGCGAACAUGAGGACCUGCAUUUCCACCCUCAACACCCAACAUGGCGUUGCAUUUGUGACUUGGAUUUGACAUCUCAGCCUUAUCGAGACAGCCCAGUGAAAGAAGGAAGUCCACACUCAAGAUCUUACUGUUCAUGCUGCAGACAGAAACAAAAAGGGACUAAGACACCACCAGGGGAUGAGGCGACCAGUCACAAUGGGACAUCCCUGUGUUCAGGCUCACUGAAGACCACAAAAACAAGGUCUGGGAUACUGUAAGUUAGCAGCAUCCUUCAAGACACAUCUUAGAAAUAAUGACCCAAGGCUGCCACUAAGGUCUCUGUGUCAACUAGAGGAACCUCUGAUGGAGAGAUGCCAGGGGAGCCAGGCUUUCAUUGACUUCAAAAUGUUGUUUAAAGUUUGGAACUAGGAAAGAAAUGGUCUAGAAAGUGCUACCUUUAACAAAUUAAAAUGUAAACUUUCAAAUGUAGUUUAGUGCUGUUCAUUCCUCUCAGAAAAUGUCAGAAAAAGUUUAAACGAAACUUUAAAAAACUGGAAUGUUCAUGCGUGUGUAUGUACAUAUUUGUGGGUGCAUGAGUGUAUGCAGAUGCAAACAUACAAAUGUGUUUAUAUGCAUGGAGGCCAGAGGUCAAUGUUGGACAUCAUUCCUAGCAGCUUUCCACCUGGAAUCCGGGCCUCACUGAUUCGGCUAGGCUAGCUGUCCAGCAAGUGUCUCUGGGGCUCAUGAAUGUGGCUAGGUGGCAGGCCCCUGGGAUGCUCCUGUCUUUGUCACCCACCCUAUUAUCUGCACAAUGUUUUACAUGAAUGGCAAGGAUGAGCUCAGAUACUCUUGUUCAUGCAGUAAGCACUUAAUAACUCAGCUAUCUGGUCGACCAACACCUGCCUGAAAGUUUCCUCUUGACAGAGAAACGCUAGUAUUGAGAAAUUUAAGGACUGGGUGUUUAAUAAGGAAGGAAGAGGGGAUUUAUGGGCAGAUGUGUGAAGUUUGGUCUUGGAAGAAGAGCAUGACAGCAGGGGAGUAGAGCUCAACUGAGUAGCGAGGGGAGAAAGAUCCAGUUUCCCUGUCACCAUUGGAGGUUCUUACUGUGAGAGCUGAGGUGAUCAACCCUGACAUACUUUCCUCAAAUCACAUGAUCAUACUCUUUGAUCUGUUAAAAUACUCUAGAGAACCGAAAAUAUCUCAAACUCAUUUUUCUCCAAAUUUCUCUAUUAGUAAACCUAAGAAUAUUUUUUCAUAUAUCAAUGAUAGGACCCAGACUCUACUAAAAUAUAGUAUUGGGUACUAGGAACUAUUAAGAAUAAUGAUUUGUAAAUAGUAUAAAUUUUAUACACACACACAUAUAUAUAUAUAUGUACAGUAAAGGCAGAUAGAAAUAAUACUGUCUAGGGGAGGACAGGGGACUAACAGGAAACUGUCAAAUAAAGAAAGGAGGGAGAACAAGAGGAUAUGUUUAAUAUAUACUACACAGAUAUUUUAAAAUAAGUAAUACAUAAGAUUUAUAAAAAUAGUAAAUAAAAAAAGAAGAAUGA